AGCGAACGCUGGCGGCAGGCCUAACACAUGCAAGUCGAACGAACCUUUCGGGGUUAGUGGCGGACGGGUGAGUAACACGUGGGAACGUGCCUUUAGGUUCGGAAUAACUCAGGGAAACUUGUGCUAAUACCAAUGUGCCCUUCGGGGGAAAGAUCUAUCGCCUUUAGAGCGGCCCGCGUCUGAUUAGCUAGUUGGUUGAGGUAAUGGCUCACCAAGGCGACGAUCAGUAGCUGGUCUGAGAGGAUGAUCAGCCACAUUGGGACUGAGACACGGCCCAAACUCCUACGGGAGGCAGCAGUGGGGAAUCUUGCGCAAUGGGCGAAAGCCUGACGCAGCCAUGCCGCGUGAAUGAUGAAGGUCUUAGGAUUGUAAAAUUCUUUCACCGGGGACGAUAAUGACGGUACCCGGAGAAGAAGCCCCGGCUAACUUCGUG
rnacentral:rRNA from 1 species